UGAGGGGUCAAAAGGUGAGGGUCUCA
rnacentral:piRNA from 1 species